UCCCAAAGCAUUUAGUCAGGGUGGUAAUGCUGAAGAGUUCAUUUUUGGUGAACUCUUUGUCUAUCUACAUUAUUGCCUGUUACGUCUUUGGGAGAUCAAUACAAUUCGAAACCCGUGAACCCAUUCAAUUUAUUUUGAUUGGAUCUUAUACCGUUUUGGUAUUGAGAUGUAGUUCACAACCCCCCCUGUUGAUAGUUUUUAUCGACAACCCUUUUUUAGAAUUGUUACGGAAUCUUUUUUUGAGUAGAAAUUUAUCCUUUUGUUUGUUUUAUACAUUCAUAUCAAUGGUUUAUUUCAUAGUAUAGAGGCCGACAUUU
rnacentral:snoRNA from 1 species